UUAUCCACAUUAGGGAUAAUCGCAGGGGUCAACCCAACCGCAGUGCAAUGGAAGAGCCUCGCCCUGGGGGAACCGCCUACUUG
rnacentral:snRNA from 1 species